AGCUACUGAGUGCUUAUUGCACCACAUGUGUUUUUCUUUGAAACAAACUUGCUUUGGCGGUGGGCCCAGCCUGCCGCCAGAGGUCUAAACUUACAACCAAUUUUUUAUCAACUUGUCACACCAGAUUAUUACUAAUAGUCAAAACUUUCAACAACGGAUCUCUUGGUUCUCGCAUCGAUGAAGAACGCAGCGAAAUGCGAUACGUAAUAUGAAUUGCAGAUAUUCGUGAAUCAUCGAAUCUUUGAACGCACAUUGCGCCCUCUGGUAUUCCGGAGGGCAUGCCUGUUUGAGCGUCGUUUCUCCCUCAAACCGCUGGGUUUGGUGUUGAGCAAUACGACUUGGGUUUGCUUGAAAGACGGUAGUGGUAAGGCGGGAUCGCUUUGACAAUGGCUUAGGUCUAACCAAAAACAUUGCUUGCGGCGGUAACGUCUACCACGUAUAUCUUCAAACUUUGACCUCAAAUCAGGUAGGACUACCCGCUGAACUUAAGCAUAUCAAAAGCCGGAGGAAAC
rnacentral:rRNA from 1 species